ACAAUAACGAAACUGUCGUUAACUCCAAUAACGAGUUACAGAAUCGCACCACUGGGCUGCUAUUCUGUUACUGUAGUUACGACAGUUGUCGGCAUCGUUAAUGGCCAUUCUACAAUAAGCUAUUAGUUAUAAAACAUAAGAAAAUAAACCAAUCGGAAUUCUUCAUUUAUAGAUUGAAGGAUUUUGAUUGGUUUAUUUUUUAUGUAUUAUGACUAAUAGCUUAUUGUACACUCGCGGACAUAAUAGUAAGUGCCCGUUUUUUUGCAAUUUUCGGAACGCAUCCCGAUUUGAGAAGAAUGAGUCACUGCUCCGCCUGUAAAGCAGUGACUUACAACGAAAGGCGAGAAAUGAAAUAUAUGCAGUGGGACAUAUUGACUUAUGCAUUCGUUGCUGCUGAUGAUUCAUCUCGUCCAUCUCUUUCAGAAGACUUUAAAGUGGAAGUCAUAUCUUGAAACGAUAUCUCACGUAUCAUUUCCACGCUUGGGUGGAAAGGUAAAUAUCUAUAAUUAUGUUUUAUAUUGUAGAUACUGUGUGUCAAAGUAUUUCUUGAGAAGAAGUGGAAAAAUAUAAUAAAGAAGAUAUGAAAAGAAGAGCAGAAACGAAGAGAAAAAACAUAUUUACGAGAUUGGAUAUACUGACACAAUUAUAGAUGUACGAUCAGAGUGCGAUCACUGCUUGGUUUGAAUAAUAAAGAGACUCAGAUGAAAUGAAUACUCCAGCAUUAAAUAGAAAUGAGGGAACACAGAACAGA